rnacentral:rRNA from 1 species
UAACCUGGUUGAUCCUGCCAGUAGUCAUAUGCUUGUCUCAAAGACUAAGCCAUGCACGUCUAAGUACAAACUAAAUGAUGGUGAAACUGCAAAUGGCUCAUUACAACGGUUAUGAUGUACCCGGGAGUUCCGAUGGAUAUUUCCAGUAACACUAGAACUAAUACAUGUCCCUGCGUUUAUUAGUUUCGCACAGUCCGUCGCUGAGUCAUGGUAAACAGUUGAUCGACUCGACGUCCCGGAACAGUUUCCGCCCCAUCAGCUUCGAUGGUUGGGUAUUGGCCUACCAUUGCAACAACGGGUAACGAGGAAUUAGGGUUUGAUUUCGGAGAGGGAGCCUGAGAAACGGCUACCACAUCUACGGAUGGCAGCAGGCGCGCAAAUUACCCAAUGCAGACACUGUGAGGUAGUGACGAGAAAUAAUAAAGCGGGACUUCUGUUUCGCUAUUAUAAUGAGGAAUAACCAAAGGUCAUUCCGAUUAGCAACUGAUGGGAAAGUCUGGUGCCAGCAGCCGCGGUAAUACCAGCGUCAGUAGCAUAUAUUAAAAUUGUUGCAGUUAAAACGUCCGUAGUCUGUACGUCGUCCCAAACUCACUGCAGUCUUCCGUUUUCUUAAUUGAAUGCGGUAGUUUCUGCAGUCACUCCCUUGAUCAAAUUAGGUUGUUCAAGGUAGACCAAGUCUUCAUAUUUUCACAUGGAAUUGGGUGAGGGAACUUAAGAGUUUAAGUUUCUCGUCUUAGGAUCAUCCGGGGUCAUUCGUACUCGUCCGCGAGAGGUGAAAUUCUUGGACCGGACGAAGACGACCAGCAGCGAAAGCAUCUGUCAGGGAUGUUUUCUGCGACAAAGGACGAAGGUCAGGGUAUCGAAGACGAUUAGAUACCGUCGUAGUCCUGACUGUAAACUAUGCCAACUUGGGUCUUGCUGGGCGAUGCUUUGUGAGACCCACACAGAAAUGAAAGUGUAUGGGUUCUGGGGGUAGUAUGGACACAAGUCUGAAACUUGAAGGAAUUGACGGAAGAGCACCAUAAGACGUGGAGCUUGCGGCUUAAUUUGACUCAACGCGGGAAAACUUACCAGGUCAAGACAUGGGCGUGAUUGACAGGCUAAUGACUUUUCUCGAUUCCAUGGAUGGUGGUGCAUGGUCGCACUUAGUUGGUGCAGUGAUUUGUCAGGUUUAUUCCGGUAACGAACGAGACCUCAACCU